UGGGGAAUAUUGCGCAAUGGGGGGAACCCUGACGCAGCAACGCCGCGUGAAGGAAGAAGGCCUUCGGGUUGUAAACUUCUUUGAUUGGGGACGAAUAAUGACGGUACCCAAAAAACAAGCCACGGCUAACUACGUGCCAGCAGCCGCGGUAAUACGUAGGUGGCGAGCGUUGUCCGGAAUUACUGGGUGUAAAGGGCGUGUAGGCGGGGGAGCAAGUCAGAUGUGAAAUCCCGGGGCUCAACUCCGGAGUUGCAUCUGAAACUGUUUUUCUUGAGUGCUGGAGAGGAAAGCGGAAUUCCUAGUGUAGCGGUGAAAUGCGUAGAUAUUAGGAGGAACACCAGUGGCGAAGGCGGCUUUCUGGACAGUAACUGACGCUGAGGCGCGAAAGCGUGGGGAGCAAACAGG
rnacentral:rRNA from 1 species